AUCAACAGGACGUGGCUCAAGAUUAGGUCAAUGACAACUGUUGGUGGAGGGAAGACUCAUAUGCCUACGAAGGAUACCAGUGGAGGGAAGACUCAUAUGCCUACGAAGGAUACCAGUGGAGGGAAGACUCAUAUGCCUACGAAGGAUACCAGGCACGAUCAGUUUGCGGAUUAUAUUACCCGAGCCAAGAAGAAGUUCCAAAAAGUUUCAACCAUGCGUGGUGGUGGUGGUGGUG
rnacentral:lncRNA from 1 species